rnacentral:rRNA from 1 species
GACGAACCGUGCAAACGUUGUUCGGAUUCACUGGGCUUAAAGGGCGCGUAGGCGGGCGGUCAAGUCAGGGGUGAAAGCCUCCAGCUCAACUGGAGAAGUGCCUCUGAUACUGAUCGUCUUGAGGGAGGUAGGGGCAUGUGGAACUUCCGGUGGAGCGGUGAAAUGCGUAGAUAUCGGAAGGAACGCCGGUGGCGAAAGCGACGUGCUGGACCUCUUCUGACGCUGAGGCGCGAAAGCCAGGGGAGCAAACGGG